rnacentral:rRNA from 1 species
CCUACGGGAGGCAGCAGUAGGGAAUCUUUCACAAUGGGCGAAAGCCUGAUGGAGCAACGCCGCGUGCAGGAUGAAGGCCUUCGGGUUGUAAACUGCUUUUAUAAGCGAGAAAUAUGAUGGUAACUUAUGAAUAAGGAUCGGCUAACUACGUGCCAGCAGCCGCGGUCAUACGUAGGAUCCGAGCAUUAUCCGGAGUGACUGGGUGUAAAGAGUUGCGUAGGUGGCAUAAGAAGUAGCUAGUGAAAACUGGUGGCUCAACCAUUCAGACUAUUAGCUAAACUGUUAAGCUCGAGACCGUUAGGGGUAACUGGAAUUUCUAGUGUAGGAGUGAAAUCCGUAGAUAUUAGAAGGAACACCAAUAGCGUAGGCAGGUUGCUGGGACGGUUCUGACACUAAGGCACGAAAGCGUAGGGAGCAAACGGGAUUAGAUACCCGGGUAGUC